GUGGGGAAUCUUCCGCAAUGGACGAAAGUCUGACGGAGCGACGCCGCGUGAGUGAAGAAGGCCUUCGGGUCGUAAAGCUCUGUCAUCAGGGACGAACGGCCGGUGGAGUGGAAAGCCACCGGAUUGACGGUACCUGAGAAGGAAGCCACGGCUAACUACGUGCCAGCAGCCGCGGUAAUACGUAGGUGGCAAGCGUUGUCCGGAAUUAUUGGGCGUAAAGCGCGCGCAGGUGGGAUCUUAAGCCCAUUUUUAAAGUUCGGAGCUCAACUCCGUGAUGGGAUGGAAACUGGGACUCUUGAGUACCGGAGAGGAAAGCGGAAUUCCCCGUGUAGCGGUGAAAUGCGUAGAUAUGGGGAGGAACACCAGUGGCGAAGGCGGCUUUCUGGACGGUGUCUGACACUGAGGCGCGAAAGCCAGGGUAGCGAACGGGAUUAGAUAUCCUGGUAGUCC
rnacentral:rRNA from 1 species